GAUGAAGAACGUAGCGAAAUGCGAUAAGUAGUGUGAAUUGCAGAAUUCAGUGAAUCAUCGAAUCUUUGAACGCACAUUGCGCCCAUUAGUAUUCUAGUGGGCAUGCCUGUUCGAGCGUCAUUAAGUCCACUUAAGCCCAGCUUAGUGUUGGGAGACUGCUCCAGCGGUGCUACCCUGUAGCUACCCUGCAGCUCCUCAAAGACAGCGGCGGAGUUGUGGUAUCCUCUGAGCUUAGUAACUUGUUCUAGCUUUCGAGUACACCACUUCCCCUGCCGUAAAAACCCUUAAUUUUUAAUGGUUGACCUCGGAUCAGGUAGGAAUACCCGCUGAACUUAAGCAUAUCAAUAAGCGGAGGA
rnacentral:misc_RNA from 1 species